rnacentral:lncRNA from 1 species
GUAAAACCGAUCAUGGGCGAAGUGGGCAGUAUUGCUUACACCGCCCUUCCCCUUCUUCCUUUCCUUCACACAGUGCCCAUCGACUGUAUUUUUUCUUGUUUGUAGUGGAAGUGUAUUUGCAAGUAAACCUCUGUAGUUGGGACUAUUGGAUCAAGGUUAACUGCUUGUCGAGUUGAUUAGAUAUUGGCAAGCCAAGAUUCUGCUACCAGAAUGGGGCCAAAAAACACAGGUAGUCCUUAGCUUGCGUGGCGUUUUAUCCCCAUAAACCCAUAUAAGUUUAGAAUAUUGUGACUCAGAAAUGCAUUUAAUACACUCAACCCGCCAAAUGUCGUGCCUUAGCCCAGCCCACCUUAAACGUGCUCAGAACAUUUACAACAGCUUACAGUCAGGCACAGUCAUCUCUCACAAAUCUUACUUUAAAAGUGUUAAAUAUCUCAUGUGACUUAUCAAAUAGUGUACUGGAAGUGAGGAACAGAAGCAUGGCUGUACUUUCACAUCAUACUAAAGUCAAAUGUCAUGUAAGUGCCAUCUUGUAAGUUGGGGACCAUCUGUAUAUAUGUUAAUCUAAUUUGCUAGCAUCCACACAAUUCCUUAUGAAGGAAAUCUGUUGGCUGUGUUGAGGAGCCAAAAUAAUUUCAGAAACUCACAAAAUAACAAUAGUUUAUAAAAUAACACCAGAAGUACAAGAAAGCCACGAUUUAACAACAGAACCCACAAAGCACAAUAGCCUGCAAAGUAAUAGCAGGAGCAAAGUAAUAGUGUGAGCCCACAGAGCAAGAGUAGACACCUACAAAGUAACCACAGGAACUCAGAGGUGGUUCAGGCAGGUUCAGAUGGACUCACAUCCAGUGAGUCUUUUGCUACAGUAUUUGUGUGCCCGGGUAAAGAUUAAUAUGUUUGGUGACCCCUGGACUGUCACCAAAGGAUGGAGAGGAAAGCACUCAUAGAGGAAAGAAAAAGGCUAGACUUGUG